rnacentral:rRNA from 1 species
GAUGAACGCUGGCGGCGUGCCUAAUACAUGCAAGUCGAGCGAACGGACGAGAAGCUUGCUUCUCUGAUGUUAGCGGCGGACGGGUGAGUAACACGUGGGUAACCUACCUAUAAGACUGGGAUAACUUCGGGAAACCGGAGCUAAUACCGGAUAAUAUUUUGAACCGCAUGGUUCAAAAGUGAAAGACGGUCUUGCUGUCACUUAUAGAUGGAUCCGCGCUGCAUUAGCUAGUUGGUAAGGUAACGGCUUACCAAGGCAACGAUGCAUAGCCGACCUGAGAGGGUGAUCGGCCACACUGGAACUGAGACACGGCCCAGACUCCUACGGGAGGCAGCAGUAGGGAAUCUUCCGCAAUGGGCGAAAGCCUGACGGAGCAACGCCGCGUGAGUGAUGAAGGUCUUCGGAUCGUAAAACUCUGUUAUUAGGGAAGAACAUAUGUGUAAGUAACUGUGCACAUCUUGACGGUACCUAAUCAGAAAGCCACGGCUAACUACGUGCCAGCAGCCGCGGUAAUACGUAGGUGGCAAGCGUUAUCCGGAAUUAUUGGGCGUAAAGCGCGCGUAGGCGGUUUUUUAAGUCUGAUGUGAAAGCCCACGGCUCAACCGUGGAGGGUCAUUGGAAACUGGAAAACUUGAGUGCAGAAGAGGAAAGUGGAAUUCCAUGUGUAGCGGUGAAAUGCGCAGAGAUAUGGAGGAACACCAGUGGCGAAGGCGACUUUCUGGUCUGUAACUGACGCUGAUGUGCGAAAGCGUGGGGAUCAAACAGGAUUAGAUACCCUGGUAGUCCACGCCGUAAACGAUGAGUGCUAAGUGUUAGGGGGUUUCCGCCCCUUAGUGCUGCAGCUAACGCAUUAAGCACUCCGCCUGGGGAGUACGACCGCAAGGUUGAAACUCAAAGGAAUUGACGGGGACCCGCACAAGCGGUGGAGCAUGUGGUUUAAUUCGAAGCAACGCGAAGAACCUUACCAAAUCUUGACAUCCUUUGACAACUCUAGAGAUAGAGCCUUCCCCUUCGGGGGACAAAGUGACAGGUGGUGCAUGGUUGUCGUCAGCUCGUGUCGUGAGAUGUUGGGUUAAGUCCCGCAACGAGCGCAACCCUUAAGCUUAGUUGCCAUCAUUAAGUUGGGCACUCUAAGUUGACUGCCGGUGACAAACCGGAGGAAGGUGGGGAUGACGUCAAAUCAUCAUGCCCCUUAUGAUUUGGGCUACACACGUGCUACAAUGGACAAUACAAAGGGCAGCGAAACCGCGAGGUCAAGCAAAUCCCAUAAAGUUGUUCUCAGUUCGGAUUGUAGUCUGCAACUCGACUACAUGAAGCUGGAAUCGCUAGUAAUCGUAGAUCAGCAUGCUACGGUGAAUACGUUCCCGGGUCU